ensembl:lncRNA
GUUCAAGUAAGCAAGUAGCGGUGUUCACGAGCGUAUUUGUAGAAGCAAUACUUUGGAGAACUACACGACAAGAUGUCUACUACAAAGAAGCAUCGAGCCAUGGGGUCUGAGGAGUGGGUGGCGCGCCUGAAUGCAUUUGCCUGUUCUGGCACUUGGCCCUCCGGUGCAGGGAACAGGCCAUCUCCCAAACAGGGCAAGUGGCACAACCUCUACCAGAAGAUUGAGAAGUGUCCCAUGAUGCUGCGUGGGCAGACCUCAAUCUUGAGGGUAGCGCAGACAUGUUCCUGUGGCUUUCACCCUCGGCAGUCUGUGAGUAGUCCUGCAGCAUCCAGGCCAGCUACCUCAGCCUCCACUUCAGCUGCCUCAGCCUCCACCUCAGCGGCGCCUGUACAGAGCCCUGGGAGGCCUGCAUUGACGCUGUCAAUGUUUGAUAAAGCGCGGUUCGGUGGGACUUUGUCUGCGGCAGCCAGGCCUAAUGUCAACGUGACCAGGAAGCAUGUCGAGGUAAUACAUGUACCUUUAGCUGUGCCUGAUGCCUAAGAAUACAGCCAUUAAGCCAUAC